GACGAACGCUGGCGGCGUGCCUAAUACAUGCAAGUGGGACGCAAGGAAACACACUGUGCUUGCACACCGUGUUUUCUUGAGUCGCGAACGGGUGAGUAACGCGUAGGUAACCUGCCUAUUAGCGGGGGAUAACUAUUGGAAACGAUAGCUAAUACCGCAUAAUAUUAAUUAUUGCAUGAUAAUUGAUUGAAAGAUGCAAGCGCAUCACUAGUAGAUGGACCUGCGUUGUAUUAGCUAGUUGGUAAGGUAAGAGCUUACCAAGGCGACGAUACAUAGCCGACCGGAGAGGGUGAUCGGCCACACUGGGACUGAGACACGGCCCAGACUCCUACGGGAGGCAGCAGUAGGGAAUCUUCGGCAAUGGACGAAAGUCUGACCGAGCAACGCCGCGUGAGUGAAGAAGGGUUUCGGAUCGUAAAGCUCUGUUGUAAGUCAAGAACGUGUGUGAGAGUGGAAAGUUCACACAGUGACGGUAGCUUACCAGAAAGGGACGGCUAACUACGUG
rnacentral:rRNA from 1 species